GUGUACUUAUUAAAAUUUUAUUUGUUUCACAAUUCAAUAUAUCCUUUUUGGUCAUUUUAUAUUAGGGUAAAUUAGUAAUUCAAUAAAUAGUUUGGUAGUAGGGUGUACUCAGUUAAUUUUAGGGUUCGUUUAGCAGCUCUAUAUAGAAAUAGAACAUUCUCCCAAAAAUUCCCUCUUUCAUUCAUUAUUUGGCAUCUCUUUGUUUAAUUAAGGAAUUUUUUUCCUUUUUAAUUCUUAUGAAAUUGAGUUUUUAUUUUAGGGUUGAGGUUUUUUCCUUAAGUCCUUAAAAGUCAUUUUUUAAAGGGGUAAAUUUGUCUAUAAAAUUUUAAAGAUAAGAUGGAUGGAAAAAUAGGACAUGUGGGUGGAAAUAGCAACACUCUAUAUAUAAGUAUAUUACAUGUUUACAAUAUAAGGUAACUACAUAUGCAAUGCAGCAUUGGGAAAUAAUAAAGUCCAACCUAAUUAGAGAAAGAGUCAAACCUAAUUACGUGUAAGGAAUACAAAUCACACACCCUAACCCAAACCUAAUUACACAAAGGAAGUCAAACCUAAUAAGAAUUACUUGUGGUUCUUGCAUAGUUUUCCUUGCUUUUAUGCAAUGAUCUUCUUCAGUUUAUCCCUUAGGCCGUCAGUUAAUACCAUAAAUUUAUGCAAACCGGCUG
rnacentral:lncRNA from 1 species